rnacentral:rRNA from 1 species
UUGGGUUAAGUCCCGUAACGAGCGCAACCCUUGUCCUUAGUUACCAGCACGUUAUGGUGGGCACUCUAAGGAGACUGCCGGUGACAACCGGAGGAAGGUGGGGAUGACGUCAAGUCAUCAUGGCCCUUACGGCCUGGGCUACACACGUGCUACAAUGGUCGGUACAAAGGGUUGCCAAGCCGCGAGGUGGAGCUAAUCCCAUAAAACCGAUCGUAGUCCGGAUCGCAGUCUGCAACUCGACUGCGUGAAGUCGGAAUCGCUAGUAAUCGUGAAUCAGAAUGUCACGGUGAAUACGUUCCCGGGCCUU